UACGUAGGGGGCAAGCGUUGUCCGGAUUUAUUGGGCGUAAAGAGCGUGUAGGCGGCCAGAUAGGUCCGUUGUGAAAACUGGAGGCUUAACCUCCAGCUGUCGAUGGAAACCAUCUGGCUAGAGUCCGGAAGAGGAGAGUGGAAUUCCUGGUGUAGCGGUGAAAUGCGCAGAUAUCAGGAGGAACACCGAUGGCGAAGGCAGCUCGCUGGGACGGUAUUGACGCUGAGACGCGAAAGCGUGGGGAGCAAACAGG
rnacentral:rRNA from 1 species